CGCGUGAGAAUCUGCCUUUUGGACCGGGACAACUGCGGGAAACGGCAGCUAAGACCGGAUGUGCCUGCGGGUGAAAUAUUCAUAGCCAAAAGAGGAGCUCGCGACCGAUUAGCUAGUUGGUGGGGUAAGAGCCUACCAAGGCUGCGAUCGGUAGCCGGUUUGAGAGGACGACCGGCCACACUGGGACUGAGACACGGCCCAGACUCCUACGGGAGGCAGCAGUGGGGAAUUUUCCGCAAUGGGCGAAAGCCUGACGGAGCAAUACCGCGUGAGGGAGGAAGGCUCUUGGGUCGUAAACCU
rnacentral:rRNA from 1 species